rnacentral:tRNA from 1 species
CAAGGAGUAGUUUAGUUAGAAUAUCAGCUUUGGGUGCUGAUGGCGAGAUGGGUUGUCUCUUCCUUGA